UAGUCCACGCCCUAAACGAUGAAUACUAGACGUCGGAAUUCCUAAUAGUUUCGGUGUCGUAGCUAACGCAUUAAGUAUUCCGCCUGGGGAUUACGGUCGCAAGAUUAAAACUCAAAGGAAUUGACGGGGGCCCGCACAAGCGGUGGAGCAUGUGGUUUAAUUCGAUGCUACGCGAAGAACCUUACCUGGGCUUGACAUCCCGCGCUACCCUGUGAAAGCAGGGGUUCCCUUCGGGGACGCGGUGACAGGUGCUGCAUGGCUGUCGUCAGCUCGUGUUGUGAGAUGUUGGGUUAAGUCCCGCAACGAGCGCAACCCUCGCCGUUAGUUACCAUCAUUAAGUUGGGCACUCUAACGGGACCGCUAGGCUAUAAGCCAGAGGAAGGUGGGGAUGACGUCAAGUCCUCAUGGCCCUUAUGUCCAGGGCUACACACGUGCUACAAUGGUAAAUACAAAGGGCAGCGAGCCAGCGAUGGUGAGCGAAUCCCAAAAGUUUAUCUCAGUCCGGA
rnacentral:rRNA from 1 species